GUGAGGUGACAUUACGCUGAGUAUCAGGAAUGAGCGCAGCAACAAUGUAGCGACGAAGGGGAAGGAAAUGUAGCGAGAGAGGGACACACACUCAUACGGAUCCUGCGCGCCGGAGACCGGCUAGAGCGCGCAUUUAGCCGCCUGCCCGGUUCACUCCAGACCCCAGCACACUAGGCGUCCCUUUCUUUCUAUCUCCCUUGAUAGCAGUCAAUUACCACAUGCAAUUCGUUAAACUUUUUUUAAAAAAAUAAUACGCCUAAGAAUUCGUUUUGGCCGUCGCAAACCGAAAGUUGCCCUGAAGACUCUGGAGAGGGGGAAGAAAAAUAAUAUUUUUUUUGGAAAUUACAAGAAUUCAUGAUCUCGCCACCAAAUAUUCCUUCGGUUCGAGCAGGCCUUCAGAACUGCUUGGUGCUGCAUCAUAUUUUUCUCAAAAUAAGUGUUUUUAACCAGCUGAUUCUUCUCGACUAUACUGUAAGUGCCUUAAGAAGAUCCCUUUUCACCAUACACAGAGGUGAUCCCCUUUAGUUGUGUUGGCAAGGCUAACUGGAAGACACUGCAACCCUUCCCAGCACUGAGGACAUCUUCAAGACAUGGUGCCCCAAGAAGGAAGCAUCAAUCAUCACAGUCCCUCUCCAUCUGGGGCAUGUCCUCUUCAUCAGCGAGAAGGUGCAAGAGCCUGAAGACCCACACACAACAUUUUAAGAAUAGUUUCUGCCCGUACACUGUCAAAUUUCUGAAUGGUCCAUGAACGUCAUUUGUCUUUUGCACUUUAUUUACUUUGUAAUUUGUAGUAAUUUUUAUGUAUUGCUCUGUACUGUUUUCACAAAACAAUAA